GGGUGGUAGAAUUCCACGUGUAGCGGUGAAAUGCGUAGAGAUGUGGAGGAAUACCAGUGGCGAAGGCGGCCACCUGGACAGUAACUGACGCUGAGGCGCGAAAGUGUGGGUAGCAAACAGGAUUAGAUACCCUGGUAGUCCACGCUGUAAACGAUGAACACUUGGUGUGGCGGGAGUUGACCCCUGCCGUGCCGUAGCUAACGCGAUAAGUGUUCCGCCUGGGGAGUACGGUCGCAAGGCU
rnacentral:rRNA from 1 species